GCCUAGCGUCCCGGCCGGGCCCGGCCCGCGUCCCUCUGCUGCUGGCCGCCGCCCCGCGGCAGUUCGGCCCGGGCGGGCGGGAAGGGUUUUGUCCUUCCCAGGCUGUCCCCGCACCUCUCUAAAAGGACAUAUUUGGGCCGCUCUCCCCGGGAGCUGGAGAUCCCCGACCCGCCUCAGGAAGGGGCGGAGGAAAUAGUGGUAGGAAGGAUCUCUGGAGCUGACGCUCAGCCUUCUCGACCCACCCGGAUUCCUCUUGGACUAGCACUGGGAGGAAGGGGACCGCUUUCUGCACUUGGCCUGGACUCUAGCUGCCUAGAAGACCUGUCGUCUUUGUUUUUAAGUCUGGAGAAAUGGAAGAAGACGGCGAAGUCCGAAGAAACCAUUGCGAAAUUUGAAGGGGCAUCCUGAAAACCUUCACUCCCUGGCCCCGUGUUUGUUUCACCAGCCGGAAUUCUUCCCUUUUUGGUGUGUGGUGGCACCCCCCCCCACCCCCCAUGUGGACUCCAAAGGAUUUGGCCCUUCUUUGUCAUUUGAAAUGAAAUGAUGGCUACACGUCGGACUGGUCUGCCUGAGGGAGAUGGUGACAAGCUCAAGGCCUGUGGGGUCCUGGCCUCGGAGGUAUCAAAAAAUAAAGAUGGGAAAGAAGAAAGUGAAACUGUAUCACCGUCCGAAGAUGAAACAUUCUCCUGGCCAGGUCCCAAAAC